GGCCCAAGAGGUACUUCUUCAGGAUGAAGACCUUAUGGUAAGUCUUCACAACCUCCAUUCUUUAGAAAAAGAUAAGUGCCAGCGCUACAUUAGACUCAGACCAAUUAGCUUUUUGGCAAGUCUACUUCUACUAUGUGGAAUCACCAAGACUGUAUAUGCAUCAAUUAUUACAAUAAAAAUCAAUCAAUUGAUACUAUCUAAUUUGUCCAUUGAUCUUAUAAAAAAUAUAUAAAAUAUAUGUAAGAGUAAAAAGUCAAUGGCAUGUGCCACAAUCAUAAGUGUCCCAACUUCAGAAUAAACACUUUAAAUGUUUCUGGUUCUUGGGAUGCUUGAUGGGGGAUAUUGAGUGUCACGCAGAGAUACUUCCAG